GCCUGGUUUAUAAAAGACAUCAUUACAGCUGACUGAUUCUCCUCUGCCAGGGGGUCCAAAGGGGUGUAGUGCCUAUAAGCAUCAUAGAGUCGUUCUAAGAACAAAGCCGGGCUUUCCAUUUCCGCUUGUAUCACAGCUUUUACCUUAGCCAAAUUGGUGGGGCGGCGUGCCGCUGCUCGGAGACCUGCCCUAAGAGUCUGGCGGUAAACUCGGAGACGCUCCCUACCUUCCACGUUCCAGGGGAAGCGCUCGUAGAUCAGGGUAGAUCAGGUUCGGCAAGGUCGUUGGCCGUCAGUUGUCGCGGGGGGAGAUUCUUUCUGGCCUCCGUGAGGAUCGGCUCGCGCUCUUCCGUAGUGAACAAGGUCUUAAGGAGCUGCUGGCAAUCGCCCCAUGUGGGGCUAUGUAUAUGCAUGACAGACUCAAACAGACCAAGAAAACUUUUUUCUUAAGAUGUCUGUGACUUACAGAAAUGGAAAAAUAUUUAUUUGCAAAUGAAUCAAGGCAUUCAACUUUUCUCUCUACCUGAAUCCUCUGAAACCAAAAGGUCUCACAUUUACUCCUCGGUUGAAUCCACCGCUCUGCACUCCACCGGGACAGAGCCCAGGCUGGACUGCCAGGCAGAGCUCCUUUUCCUUUUGCGGGCUCCCUGCCUCCCUGUUGAAGCAGAGGGUGGUUGCUAA
rnacentral:lncRNA from 1 species